GACGAACGCUGGCGGCGUGCUUAACACAUGCAAGUCGAGCGAUGAAGCUCCUUCGGGAGUGGAUUAGCGGCGGACGGGUGAGUAACACGUGGGUAACCUGCCUCAUAGAGGGGAAUAACAUUCCGAAAGGAAGAUUAAUACCGCAUAAGAUUGUAGUACCGCAUGGUACAGCAAUUAAAGGAGAAAUCCGCUAUGAGAUGGACCCGCGUCGCAUUAGCUAGUUGGUGAGGUAACGGCUCACCAAGGCGACGAUGCGUAGCCGACCUGAGAGGGUGAUCGGCCACAUUGGGACUGAGACACGGCCCAGACUCCUACGGGAGGCAGCAGUGGGGAAUAUUGCACAAUGGGGGAAACCCUGAUGCAGCAACGCCGCGUGAGUGGUGACGGUCUUCGGAUUGUAAAGCUCUGUCUUUAGGGACGAUAAUGACGGUACCUAAGGAGGAAGCCACGGCUAACUACGUGCCAGCCGCCGCCGUAAAAC
rnacentral:rRNA from 1 species